CCUACGGGGGGCAGCAGUGGGGAAUAUUGCGCAAUGGGCGAAAGCCUGACGCAGCGACGCCGCGUGAGGGAUGAAGGUCUUCGGAUCGUAAACCUCUGUCAGCAGGGAAGAACGGUCACUGUGCUAAUCAGCAGUGAAUUGACGGUACCUGCAAAGGAAGCACCGGCUAACUCCGUGCCAGCAGCCGCGGUAAUACGGAGGGUGCGAGCGUUAAUCGGAAUUACUGGGCGUAAAGCGCUCGUAGGCGGUAUGUCCAGUCAAGGGUGAAAUCCCCGCGCCAAACGGGGGAACUGCCUUUGAAACUGGCAAACUUGAGUGUGUGAGAGGAUAGUGGAAUUCCAGGUGUAGGAGUGAAAUCCGUAGAUAUCUGGAGGAACAUCAGUGGCGAAGGCGACUAUCUGGCACAUAACUGACGCUGAGGAGCGAAAGCGUGGGUAGCAAACAGGAUUAGAUACCCUGGUAGUC
rnacentral:rRNA from 1 species